rnacentral:rRNA from 1 species
UACGUAGGGGGCGAGCGUUGUCCGGAUUCAUUGGGCGUAAAGAGCUCGUAGGCGGCUUGGCAAGUCGGAUGUGAAAACUCCAGGCUCAACCUGGAGCCGCCAUUCGAUACUGCUAUGGCUAGAGUCCGGUAGGGGAGUGUGGAAUUCCCGGUGUAGCGGUGAAAUGCGCAGAUAUCGGGAGGAACACCGAUGGCGAAGGCAGCACUCUGGGCCGGUACUGACGCUGAGGAGCGAAAGCGUGGGGAGCAAACAGG